GCUGCCUGGGGCUGGUAGUGUAGGGAAGCAUGAAUUGCAAAGGGAAGCAGGGAAAUUUGGGGGAAUGAUGGAAAUGUUCUAUGUUUUCAUUGUGGCAGUAGUUUCAGAGGUAUAUGUAGCUGUCAAAGCUCAUCAAAUUGUACACUCUAAACAGAUGCAGUUCAUUGUACAUAAAUUAUACCUUAAUAUGGGUAUAUAUCAAUAAAGGUAUUAGCUGAAAAACUAAAAUAUGGGAGGGGGGGAAGUGGAUGGUGUGUGGAUAGGGCAGGGCUGAUCAUGCGUUCACAGUGUUGGGGUUGGUGCUGGUUACAUGUAGGCUUCAUUACACCGUCCAGCUGCUUUUGCAUAUGUUCAAAAUUCUCCAUCAUGAAGAGUUUUUUUAAAAGAUAAGAAAAAAAAAAUCCAAAUUAGGGGUUUUGGAAAUUCUCAAUAAGGGUGAUUUGCUAAAAAAUCAUUGAAAUUAGAUUUGGUUGAGAUAAUUAUGAAUGACUGGAGGAAAACUGCUACCAUCUGGAAAGAUGCUACCUUCAGGUUUCCUCUAAGUGGCUUCAAGUUCUUAUUGCACAGUAAUAAAAAGAAAAUUCUAAAAAAAAAAAAAUGCAAAAUAACAUAACUCUGCACAUGUACAGAUGUGUCCUCCAGUCUUUCUCUCUUCCAAUUGGCCCAGCAGCUUUUUUGAACAUAACCACUCUGUAUUUGCUGCCUUUGUUUUCUUUUACUGGUUCCCUGGGAGGGUGACUCAUAUUUCACAAAGGGUGGAGCCUGUAGGGAGGCCAUCGGGCAAUUCAGUGUAAGUGAAAGGGAAUUGUGAAGCAUCAGUGCGGCCACUCUUACAAACACUGUGGUAUGGGAUGGGAUUGGCUCUGCAGAGGCUGGGACACCGAGCUGUUAGCUGCCUUCCCUCCCCCUACAGCCAUGGCCUGGGUUUUAUUGCCUCUGUACCCUUGGGAACCAGCUUCCCGCCAAGUGUCUGAGAGGACAGGCCUAGUUCCUGGCUACGGGAGGAUGUGAAAGUGAAAGGUUCUGACUGUACUUGACUGUGAUUUGAAACACCUGUCAGGAAGAACAGGUCCCGCCUAACUCGAGGGUGCUCCCAAGUGGCUGUGGAUGAGCAACAAUUCCCCUGCAGAGAGAGGAAGGAGAAACCUGAGCCAAACUUAGGCAUACUGCCCUGACAAUGGAAAUGAGCUUGCAUCCCACGUUCGGAGUGGCUGUUGUGAGAAGAAAGCAGCUCAGAUCCUGAGGGCGAUGAUGUAGGACGCUGAAAGUCCAAAUUCAGGGUGUCAGCUCCAGGAGAAGGCUUUCUCUAUCUGCCAGCUCUGCAGGAAGGUCCUUGUCAUCAAUCUUCCCCUAAUCUAGGUGCACAGGAACCCCAAAGGACAUGCUCUGCUCCUGGCCGCUGCGUUCUUGGUGGUUGUUAACGAGUCUUCCUCCAGUCCUGAUGCUGCAUUCUUCUUCAUAUAUCCAGCUUCUGGGAUUAUUUGCUCAGCAUACAGAUUGAAUAAGUAUGGUAAAAGGAUACAGCCCUGGAGCACGGCUUUCCUGAUUUUAAACCACACAGUAUCCCCUUGUUCAGAUGACUACCUCUUGGUCUAUGUACAGCUUCCACAUGAACACAAGUAUUCUGGAAUUCUUCUCCACAGUCGAAUGUCUUUGAAUAGUCAAUAAAACACAGCUAAAUCCUUCCAGUAUUCUCCGCUUCUAGCCUAGAUCCCUCUGACAUCAGCAAUGAUAUCCCUCAUGCCACAUCCUCGUCUAGAUCCAGCUUGAAUUUCUGGCCGUUCCCUGUUGAUGUACUGUCGCAACUGCUCUUUUGAAUGAUAUUCGGUGAAAUUUUACUUGUGUGUGAUAUUAAUGACAUUGAUAAUUUCCACAUUCUGUUGAAUCACCUUUUUUGGAGUGGGCACAAAUACGGAUCUCCUCCAGUCGGUUGGCCGGGUAGCUAUCUUCCAAAUUCCUUGGCACAGAUGAGUGAGCGCUUUCAGCCUUGCGUCCUUUUGUUCAAACAUCCCAAUUGAUAUUCUGUCAUUUCUGGAGUGUCUUAGUUAUCUAGUGCUGCUAUUACAGAAAUACCACAAGUGGAUGGCUUUAAUACACAGAAAUUUAUUCUCUCACAGUUUAGGAGGCUAGAAGUCCAAAUUCAGGGUGCCAGCUCCAGGGGAUGGUUUUUCUGUCAGUUCUGGGGGAAGGUCCUUGUCAUCAACCUUCCCCUUGUCUAGGAGCUUUUCAGUGCAGGAACCCCGGUCCAAAGGAUGCACUCUGUUCCAGGUGCUUCUUUCUUGGUGGUAUGAGAUCCCUUUCUUCUCUGCUUGAUUCUUUCAUUUAUAUCUCAAAACAGAUUGACUCAAGAUACAACCUAAUCCUGUAGAUUGAGUCCUACCUCAUUAGUAUAAUUAUCUUUAAUCUUGCCUCAUUAACAUCAUAGAGGUUAGGAUUUACAACACAUGGGAUAAUCACAUGAGAUCACAAAAUGGUGGACUACCAUACAACAUUGGUAAUCAUGCCUUAGCCAAGCUGAGACACAUUUUGGGGGGACACAAUUCAAUCCAUUACAUUCUACCCUUUGCCCCCCCCAAAUUCAUAUCCUUGCCAUAUGUAGAACAUACUCACCCUAUCCUAUCAUAGCAAAAGUCUUAAAUCAAGUCCAAAUUCUCUUGGGGCAAAAUUCUUCUUCGUCUGUGAAAUCUAGAAUACAAGUUAUCUGCUUCCAAAGUACAAUGGUGGAAGAGGCACAACGUAGACAUUUCUAUUAUAAAAGGGAGAAAUUGGAGGGAAAGAAGGGAUAGCAGGCACCAGGCAAGUCAGCAGAACACAUUACAUUAGCCCUCAGCCUUGAAAAUAAUCCUGUGUUUUCUGAGACCAUUUAGACAAUGGCCCUGCCCUCCAGACUCUGAGUGUUGGCCAUACUCUCUGGAUUCUGGGUGGAGGGCCCUGAGCCCUGGGCUUCAGCUCCACUUUCCAGGCCCACUGGAACACCAACUCCGCACCUUCUGAUUUGGGCAGCAACAUUCUCCCCGUUCAUCUGAGUGGCGACCCCACCCUGUUCUUCUGCCCCUUGGGUAUGGCAGCUCCAUCCCCGAAGAUUUAGGCAGCAGAUCCAGCUGCUAAUGGAAAGGUUGGUAGUUUAAAUCUGCUUCAGUAAAGAUCGCAGCCUUGGAAAUUCUAUGGGGCAGUUCGGCUCUGUCACUACGGGUCACUAUGAGUUGGAAUUGACUUAAGGCAAUGGGUUACUAUAGUUCCACAUGUGCACUUGGUCCUGAGAACCGCUGGUAUCUCAACAACUGGCUGGGUAGGUUGAAGAAGAAGCUGGGAAUUGGUUGGACCAACACUCGGCAAACUGAUAUGGCUGAAACUGGGCCCCUGAAGGACAUGAGGCCCAAAAGGAGCCCCUUGGACUGAGCUUGAUAGCUGAGAAAGCCAGUUCUGGUGGAUGGUUACUGAACCCACCCUAACAUUUGUCAGGCUCAGGGAAAAAAUAGAAAUAGAGAUCCAUGUACCAUAUGUCUAAAUAAUUGAAAGUUCAAAAUCAAGCUAACAAACUGUUAAAUAAAAUAUGUUUUAACUUCCUACUUAAACAAACACAGCUUCAUAACAACAAAAUAAAAAAAGCAUUCAGAAAGCUGUGCUUUUAUGAUGGAAAGCCAGCAAAAAAAGCAAAGAUAACAGAAUGUAAUUAUUAUUGCCAAUGUAAAACCAAUGAAAUAGCUAUUAAUUCCAAUCUCGUUGCUUUUCCCUUUGGUAGCUCAACAAUAUGUAUUUAAAUGUAUCAUACAUAUAAUACGUGUUAUUUGUUUUACAUGACUUUUGUCCAUAAUAAAUUCUAGUUAAACUGAGUAACAAGACUUACUUCUGAAUAUGAUGUAUGUAUUAUUACUUGUCUACUUU